ACAAGAAACCUCAAAAACCCUCAUUCUCUCAUUCAGCAACCACGUGAACCCAUCCCUCCCCUGCUUCACGUUGCUGCAGCUGUCCACGCCGCCUCCACCGCCGGCGUUUCCUCCGUCGUAGUCCCUCUCCGUCGCCGCCGCCACGCACAACCACCGAGCACCGCCACCCACUCGUCGUUCCCCUUCGCUGCGCCGCCCACCUGCAGCGUCGCUGCCGCGCCUGUCCAGCCGGAAACCCUCCUUCUCCUCUUGGGUUUCGGUUUCUCUCUCUUCUUGCGUUUUUGGUUCGACCAACAACCACCAGCAACCACCCGUGCCGACACCUGACCCGACCAGCGCCACCUCUGCUAGCCACCGCUGUCCCCGCCGUGCCCUAGUCACCGCCGGCCAGCACUCCUCCUCUCCUUUUGGCGGAGAAUUCUUUGUGGGUGACUUUUGAAUUCGUUAAAGUGGCCUAUCAGUUUGUUUACACAAGUCUCUAAGGAUCAAUAAGCAUUGUCCAUUUGCAGGUUUGAAGAUGUUGCAUCAUUGGGAUCGGGAAUAGAGAGCUUGUAUUUAGUUUUGAUUUGCUAAGUUAACUUGGGUUUGUUAAUUGGGACUUUAAACUUGUCGUACUAUUUAUAUUUCCUUAUUUUCGUUGGAUGAUUUUUGGGAUUAAACCUGUAAUCGAUUAUUUAUAAACCUAAAGUUAGUUUUAUGU